rnacentral:lncRNA from 1 species
GUUCCUGCUCCGGCUCGUGCGGGGAUGGAUGCUUCACGCAGUAAGCGAGUAAGCGAGCCCUGGAGACCCGGGCCCUGGGUGUGCGGUCGGCUCAGUGCCAUGCGGUGAGAUAGGCAUGGUUAUCAACCCACGCCAAGGCGGCUGUGUACCUGGCAUAUAAAACACUGCUGUUGAAUGUUGUUUCCAUAGUCAUUCGCCAGCGUCCACUGAUGAGAGGUGCCACCACGGACACCCGGCCUUGCUCCAUUAGGACCAUUAGGACCAAAGUCAGGCCCCAGCGGGCCUCCCUGCCAUUCCUGGACGGCCUCGCGUCCUCCCAGAGCCUGACCUUCUUUUAUCUCUGCAGCCUAAGUCGCGGAAGCGUAGACACCCGGCUUUUCCCGCGUGCUCUAUCGGGCUCCCCUGGACACGGAGGGUGGAGCAGAAAGAGCAGAGGGGCCGGUGGGAGCCAUGGGGAGUCCGCCUAGCUCCAGAGGACAUCUUACCUGGAUCCGCCUUUGUAGCCUCCUCCUGGCUCUGGGGGCUGUCCUGUGGGGUCCGAGUAGCUGAAAGACAGCCCCUCCAUGUGAGGAAGCCCCCAACUGGGGAAAACCCCCUCGUGGACUCAUUCCUGUCCCUGCAUGUGGCCUUCACCUGACUGUCUGCAUUGAGGCGUCCUCUGCCAAGAGCAAUUUCAAAGUGGCAGGAAAGUGCUGCUUUCAACAUCCGCCACAUUUGCAAGAAGAGCAAAGGUGGCCCAUUUGAGACCACCCUUGAACUAAACCAUCCAGUGAGCCCGUGAG